AUUGAACGCUGGCGGCAGGCCUAACACAUGCAAGUCGAGCGAGCGGCGGACGGGUGAGGAAUGUCUGGGAAACUGCCUGAUGGAGGGGGCUAACUACUGGAAACGGUAGCUAAUACCGCAUACAAUCAGACGUGCCCAGGUUUGAUUAGCUAGUAGGUGGGGUAACGGCUCACCUAGGCGACGAUCCUUAGCUGGUCUGAGAGGAUGAUCAGCCACACUGGAACUGAGACACGGUCCAGACUCCUACGGGAGGCAGCAGUGGGGAAUAUUGGACAAUGGGCGCAAGCCUGAUGCAGCCAUGCCGCGUGUGUGAAGAAGGCCUUCGGGUUGUAAAGCACUUUCAGCUGGGAGGCGUUACCCGCAGAAGAAGCACCGGCUAACUCCGUGCCAGCAGCCGCGGUAAUUC
rnacentral:rRNA from 1 species